UGCUGCUCCGGACCAUUUGACAAUGGAAACUCAUGUUCUUCCAGAGCCUCUUCAUUUCACAGCCCACACUGUACCUCUGUCAUUGUGAGAAAUUCAGUCUCGGUUCUUAGGCUCUGCUGAUGAACUCUCUUCAGUAAGGUGUCUGAACACUCACUGAGAUUCACACACUUCCACCCAGGACAAGUCAACUAAUGCACUGACUUGAUUUAUCAAGACCAGCUGCAGCUAC